ACUAAAUUAAAGAUUGUUUUUCAAUUAAUUUUGAUAAUUUCUUCCUUAGUUUUUGAAAAAUUAACAUUAGUCUAGUUUGUUUGUCCUAAAUUUCAUGGUUUUAUUGGCAGCAUCUUAAGGCUCAGCAUUGAACCAUUUUUUAGUCUGUCAUCUCAAUAGCUGUAAUUGCUAUUAUUCAUUGCUUCUUUUCAUAUGAGCUGCUGAAGGGGGACUGCUGCAAAAUAUGGGCAUAAAAAUUACCUGACUUGGUCUUCUUCGAGAUAUCGUUGUACCUUCCUGGAUAUAAAUGAACUAUUGUGGGGAUUUCCUUUGAAUUUCAUGAAAUUCAUGAUCUACAUUAUAUUUCAUUCAAACAUGUUGGAUGCAAUACAAGUGGUCAUAGACCGCAGCCAAUGUCUUCUUGAAGUGAAAUGAGCAUGUCAAACGUGGUAAUGAUGGGCAAGUUGGUCAAAGCUUUGGUCGGAGUGCAACUAGGGAGCGUGGUUGGUGGAAGGACUCAAGGGAGAAGGAGAAGGAUAACGAUAGGGCAUCUGGGAAGGGAACAGCUUAUAAUUCACAGCAAAGAAAUGAGAUGCCACAAGCCGUGAGAGACGAUAGCCACCGUGAUGAGUCUUCAAAACUGGAGGAUUCAAGUGUACUUGCUGAUACAAAGCCGUGAGAGACAAUCCACCACUUGACAAUCCGUGAGAGACAAUCCGUGAGAGACGAUAGCCACCGUGAUGAGUCUUCAAAGCCGUGAGAGACAAUCCACCACUUGACAAUCCACCACUUGGGAUUCAAGUGUACUUGCUGAUACACUACCAAAUGUCUUUAACUCUGAUACCAUUUGUAACAGCUAAAAUCCACCGCUAACAGAUAUUUUCAUCUUUA